AAUGAACGCUGGCGGCAAGCUUAACACAUGCAAGUCGAACGAAUUACAAUUAUAGCUUGCUACAAUUGUAGUUAGUGGCAGACGGGUGAGUAAUGUAUAGGAAUCUGCCUAGUAGUAUGGAAUAGCUGUUAGAAAUGACAGGUAAUACCGUAUAAUCUACGGGGGAAAGAUUUAUCGCUAUUAGAUGAGCCUAUAUUAGAUUAGCUAGUUUGGUGAGGUAAUGGCUUACCAAGGUUAUGAUCUAUAGCUGGUCUGAGAGGACGAUCAGCCACACUGGAACUGAGAUACGGUCCAG
rnacentral:rRNA from 1 species